AGAGGAGAGAGGCCUGCAGGCUCCUGGUGGGGGGGCCGUCUUCCCCCCUUCCUUCCCCCCCUUUUUCCCCCUCCGACCGACCUGCAGGGGAGCCCAGAACAGUAUUAUAACUGGACUGGGUGCCUGUGGCCAAAGGCUAGGGAGUUUUUAUCCCCCACUGCCCAGGAGAGGCGGUGGUGUGCACUUGAGAGGCCAGUCAGGGGGUUGGAGCUAGCCCCACCGCCCCAGCAGGCAGGCAUGGCAUUGGAGUCAAGCCAGAGAUGGGCCAAGGGGUGGCCCGGGAGCUGCAGAAGCAGUGGAGAUCAUGCAGAGCUGGAAGAAUUCCAGGCAGAGGAUGAGAGAAAGACUUCAAGCAAUCUCGCUACCACUUUCCCCCACACACAAUGGCGGAGGAGGGAGCGACCCGAGCUGAGACUGGAGAAACACGGAGACAGGCCGAGGGGCUCGGAAGUGCCCUCGUGGUUUGGACAGGGGCAGCCAAAAACCGAAGGAGGAAUGCGGGAGGGAGGAAUACCUCCCCGUGACAUGUGAAAGUUGAGCUGAAGCUGCAGCAGCUGAAACAGAGAGAAGCCAAACCAAGCAGGCUUUUUCUGGGACUGUCUCGAUCAAUACACUUGAGAUCUUUUACAAAAGCAGUGUGCCAGAUUCUCUAAACAGCAUGGAAGAAAAGCUAGCAGAGAGAGAGUUAAUUCCACAGGCAGAAAAAGUUUUCUUUCAGCAUGAAUGCAUUUACGUUGCAACAGAGAAUGAGGCAUAUAUCCCUGAUGACAAGGUUCAUGCACAGCAAAGCUAAGUAUCAGACAACAGUUAACCUACAUUUACGUUUUGAAAUCAUCCUUUGCUCAUUGCAUCCAUCAGGAACUUUUAAACUUAGAAACAUUUUUCUUCCAGGGUAGAAAGAAAAUCGUCAGAAAAAAAUAAAUUCCCUGGAGUUGUCAAGUGAAUGCCUCUGCUAAAUUCAAAUUUAUAUCUCUACAGUGAAAGUCUCUUCUAUGACUCAAACUUGCUCUCUUGUUACAUCUUGUUACAUCAAUAUCAAAUGGAUUUGGUAUAUACAAAAAUAGAUGGCCUCUCUCUGAGGUAUUUGCCAAUGUAGUGUCACUGCAAUGUGUGCUAUAUUAGAGAUUAGCUUGUUAGCAGGAGAGGGAAAGUAAAAUUGAGAAAAGUACAAUUAGAACAAGGUUAUCUGGUUUUACUGUUUUGUGUGACAUGACAUUUUACUUUUCUCAUUUUUGAGUUCACAAUGUGAAAUGUGCACAUCAUACACAGAGUCCUUAUUGUCUACUAAAACUGCAGUGGAUCAUUUUCCAAAAAUCAAAAUCUUAAAAAUCCUUUCAGUGAAAACAUAUUAUGGCAGAACUAAUAAGUAAAAAUAAUGUACAAAGAGAUAAGUCUAAAUAAAUCAUACAGAUCUGUGGAACUAAAUAUGUAGCAUAAUGUAUAUUUCAGCAAAUAUUCACCAAAAGUGAAACCUUUAUAUGUUUUGUGCCCUUGAACUUUCAGUAUAUUAUUUUAAACAUGAUGGAAAACACAGGACCUACCUCAAAUAUUAAUAUUCAUUACUGUGGCAGCUUAGUCAGAACAAAUCAUACACAACUGUAUGGGAUCUAAAGAAGAAUCUAAGUUUGAAGAUGGCUUCACAGAGAGCUCUGGGGAGAAAGUCUUAUGGAUCCAUAGAAGUCCUUACAGUACUUCUUUAGCUUUAAUGUUUACAUUAUUAAAAUGCAAGAGGCUAUUAAUAUCACUAAAAAAUGGUGAACAGACAUGAACCAAAGAACCUUUUAAUCCAUUUCCUGAGUUGUAAAUAAAGACCUUUAUGUACAGCUACUGAAGGAAAUGUAAAAAGCCAACUACUGUAUAAUCUUAAUUGGGUUACUCAGAAUCUCUAACAGAGCUAUCAUCACAGGCUGUAUAAAUCAAAAAUAAUAGCAUCUAUAGGAAAGUGAUCUACAUCUAAAGAGGAUGUCUUUGUUCCCUAAGGUGGUAAAAUUACGUUUAGAUAUUUCUGAUAGAAAUAUGCAGCAUACACCUAAAUAAAAAUCUCACAGGGAAAGCUUCCUGGAUAAAAAAUUUCUAAUGAACUGACUCUAUCCUUCUCUUUUAGUGUUUUAGACCAGUUAGUGCUAUUGCCUUCUUUUUCUCUGCCUGCACUUUGUUGAUAGGUGAAGACUUUAGCAAUACUAGCUGGAUAGUGCAUCUUAAGAUACCAUGAUGAACCAUUAAUAUUUUCUAUAUAAGUCAAGUAACUCUGUAAGUAGUUAAAGUAUUUUAACUUUAGAUAAAGAUUUCCAUGAGGUCUGUCUCUACCAAAUAUAUCCUUUGGCUAAUGAGAGUAGCUGCUAGGUUUGUCCUUGGGAGUCAAGAGCUUGGUUAUACUGUUGGCUCUACAGAAAGUAUUUAAAGAAAAUCUUCAAAUUCUAACUACAAUAAACUUCUUUUGCAAUAUAUUUGUAUGUGUUUGUUCUCCAGUUUUUUCAAGACCUCCAUAAGAAACCAAUACAAAAAUGACUGUACACAUGGAUUAUGCCUUCAGCAAUUUUUUAUAAUGUUAGGUGCUGUUUAACACAAAAAGAAAACAUUAAGGCCAUUCUGUACAGUUUGAGGUGGUUGUACAGGAGAUAAAAAUUCCUCUUAUCCUUUAUCUUUAGAACAUUGUAAAGUUGAAUUAAAUAAAGCCUACAAGGUACUCUGAGAUACUUUACUUACAAGUUGAAUUUAUUCAGAUUUUUUCUAUUUUAACAUUAAAGACAACAAAUCUAGUUAUAUUCAGCACCAUAAAGGUAAUAGUAGAUAGGAAUCUGACUUCUUGUCUGACCCUUAUUUGUACACGUUUUUGAAACACAGAGCUAAAUCUACCAGUUCAAUACUCUUGAAUAAAAUACUACAGAAAUUUUCUCAAAAAUCUUCUCAAGUCAUAUAGGUUCUGACAUAAAAUGAAUUUUAUUUUUGAUUUUGGGGUCUUUGGUUAUUGUUGAGAAUUAAUAAAAUUAUUAUAAUGGUUUCUAGCAUUCACAAAAAAUAAAUAACAAAUUUAGAAUAUGUGACUAAAUUAUUACACCUCAUAUCAUGCAGGUAACGUGAGUUCACCAGAUAUAUUCUGUUUUGGUGAAAAUCUAUCAUUAUCAGUUUUUUCACUGAAGAUGUGCAAAUUAAAACUCUCAGUAUUCAGAAAGCUGCAAAAGUGGAUUUCCCCGGGGCUGUGAGUGGCUUCUGGUUACCUUCCCUCCCAUUACCAACAGCUGCUAUGGCUCAUGCAUCUGUAUCAAGCAGUGUGAUCACAGCAGUGCUCCUGCCUAAGGGUCCUCUCAUUCAGCUUCAUAUACCUUUUUGCUAAAGCAUGUGCUUAGAGACAUCAGAAUGCCUCAUAACGACAGAUUCUGUCAGAACCUUUAUGCCUACAUAAAGAUUAAGUUGUAGCCUGAAAUCAGUGUGUAAAAAGCAAGCCUGCUUAAUGGAAAUACAAAGCCACCCUGCCCAAAAUUAUGCUUUCCCACAGCUUUUCUUUUCUGACAUACUCAUCGGCAAAGGUUGAACACCUCCACUACUGCAGGAACAAAUAAAAGAAAAUUAAGGAUGGCCUUCUUGUCACCAGCCAGCUCCAGCUUAGCUGGGAGGUUAUCAUUCAAAGGGGCAGGACAGGGCAACUUUCAAAGAAUGCAAAUGCUCUGAUUAUGCACAGGUCAGAGGUGACAACAGACAGAGCCUCUUUCAUGUUGUGAUCAUCUACUAGAAACUAUUGUGUCAUAAAAGAGACCUUCACCACAGAUAUAUAAACUUGAAUUUAGCAGAAGCAUUCACUCAACAAACGCCAGGGAAUUUAUUUUUUGUACCAAAAUCUCACUAAAAUAGAGGUUGUCUUUAUGUCAAGAUAGUUGUUGAUUACUAUUAUGAAUCCAUAUACCAUUUUUCUCCUUUGAUUUAGGAGAAAAUAGCCAUACUAUUUAGAGAAAGCUGAAAUAAUAAAAUAUGUAGUUGUAAGAAUUACUCAUUAGCUUUAAAAACUACUGUGUAUUUAGGAGACAGGCAAACACAGAAACAAAACACCUUUGUAAUCUGAAUAUUGUAGCUUUCAUUAUCUCACUCUGCCUUUAUUCUUUCCUUUCCUUGACUGAUCUACUAAUUCUCUGAUUAAAAGUCCAAUAAUAGAUCUUCAUUUAUAAUGACUUCUCUAGAACAUUUAUGCCAACAUCUUUACACAAAAGAGUAGUCAGAUUGGCAGCUCCGUGGGGCUGGGAUUCUUUUCUGGUCUGGCUAGUGAGACACUUUCCUACAAAGCCUAUGGUGUUUGAUUAAAAAUAAUAUUGUUGUGUAAAUACAGCAGCAACAAACAGAAGGGAUGUUUGUUAGUAGAAGUAGGAAUUCAGUCUACCCAAGUGCCCUGCAAUUUGCAAGCAGUGCAAACAGAAACACGGGGACCUGUUGAGACAGGAUGUGCUGAUCUGUCAGACAGACUGUCUUGGCUUGAAUGGGUGGACCUCAUUUGGAAAUACCUUCCUAUCAGGAUUUUUCAUCACUAUUCUUUGGAGUCUAAACAGAAUUCAAAGAGAAACAAAAGAGUUGUAGAAAUCUGUCUCUGAUUCUUUAUCAUAUACCCACAGAGCAAUCAUAUACAACUCUUCUAAUAAAGCACUUUUGGGUUUUUUCUUGCAGCUGAUGUUUGGUACCUAUGUGCGUAUUUUGACAAAAAUUAGACUGAUGCCCUCUCAAGAACAACUACCAAUAGAAUUUUAUUUUCAUUAAAGCAACGAAACCUUACAUAAUCCUAUGAGGAACAAAGACCCUUUUAUUACUGCAGAAAUCCAUAACAGCUUACCUCUUUAAGGAAUGUCACCUCAUUAGCCAUAAGACAUUUUCUGAGAGACCACAAUUUCAUCAGCUGGGAAGAAGAAAAAGGUCAGUUUGUAACCUUGCCUCAGAACCCAACUUGCAAAUCCAUCAGUAAAAAGGAGAAAGAAACGUUAGUGAAUACACCCACUUCCCACAGAUUUGAUGACUGAUCAUGCAUUUUCACAUAGAGCCAAAUGUAUGACAUAAACAGCUGCCUUGGCAGAACACACAGUCUCCCCUCUAGCACACACUGUUGGCAUGCAUAUGCCAAUUAAGUGUAUAUUAGCCUCUCAUAAAGCUUCCAUCUACUUCAAAACAAAACAGGACUCCACCAAACAGUUCUAAGGGUACUCAACUUCCCCUAAAAGUACAGCUGCAAAGUGAAGGGUUCAGACUUGGCUUUAUUGUCAUUUAUUUCAAGAAUAUCUGUUGUCAUUAAAUUCAAGAGAUUGUUACUGGAAAUUUUCUACACACUUUUUUCACAUUCUGUCUCUGAGGUGUUGACCUCAAUUUAAUUCAGACAAUGAAGUACGACUAGCAAGAAAACAACUGAUGCUGCCUUUGCUUGGUGUGUUUUUCCUUUACUAUCUAAUUUGCAGAACUGGCAUCAACGUGACAGAAAUUGCACUGAUGACUUCCAAAACCCCACAAAAUAGCUAGAGUUGCAUAAUGCCCUUCAUUACAGACACAGUCCCUGGAGAACAAACCAUCCUAGUCUUGCUGUAAAAUUCCUGACUUUGUGCUUCCAUUCAUCUAUCAUGCCUGGAACUGCAUUCAUGGGACUAUGAGAGUUACUGCAAACAAUUUCUGCCUGUGUGCCAUGUCUACUGUGACUCCUUUGGUGGGAAAGCUGAGCAAGUGAGCUCAGUGAAAAAAACAGCAAAAACAGUGCCCUUCUCACCUAGGGGAAGGAAGAGUCAAUGCAAAGGCAGAGGGUGAUCAAGAAAAGGCUCCUGGAGUCCAUAGGAACAGCUGCAAACGGAAUUAGCAAAGUAAGCACAAGGGGAAGAGAAAAUUGCACUGAUUGUGGGAAUGAAAGUGCAGCUAUUGCAGAAAACCAACAUCAGUAGGUGACAAGAGACUGCUCUGGCUUGCACAACUGGGCAAGACUGGGAAACAUUUUGAUGCCAUAAUGAAGUUUAAAUUUUUGGAGCUUCACUGUAUUCUAUACUUGCAUGGGCUGAAAGACUUCCUGCCACUGCAAAGAUUCAUUUUAACACUGUGCAGUAAGAGAUAGAUACCUGUGAAACAGACCACUGUGUCAUUUGGGACAACAAACAACUUUAAGGAUCUACAUAGAUGUUCUUGUUUAAAGAUAUUCAGUUUUAGAUUGUCUUGUUAACAAGAAAUAUGCACUUAACAGACUGUAAGAAUCCAAUAAGCAUGCAGAUUUAAGGAAUUAUCAAUCAUGUCACUUAAAAUUCAAAGAUUUGGUCGUUUCUGGUUUUGUUUAAGCUAUACUAUUUACUGAUAAAUUUAAAGUGCUUUUUAAUUAAUAUCUGCAUUGAGAAAAGGUAGGCCUGUUUGAACAGCUCUCUCAUCUUGCAUACAGAGAUCCAUAAAGAACAACACUACCAUGGCCUCUUUUUCAUUGAUGUAUUUCUUUAAGGAAAAGUUUUAAUUGUAGCAUUAAUGACAGUAAAUAAUCUCUUAAGUGCCUUUAUAUAUAAUUUUCUUAUUCACAGUGAAGUGCACAGCAACAUUAGCAACCCUCUAAAAUUCAGCAUACUUUGAAAAUAUUAUCUGCUGCAUCUUUUAAUGUCCAAGUUUCAAGUUCUACUAAUCUAUUCCACAUUUCUUUACCUUAGCUUGCCUAUACAUUACACUUUUAAUGUUGGUUGGGCACUCCAGAACAGCACAUACCUUUCGGACACAGCAAUAUCACAUAUCACAUAGACAAGCAUAUCACAAGUGAUAAAUGUCGCUUCAGGUGCUUUUUAGUUGUUGAGUCUAAAAUUUAAAGUCAAAUAGACUUGUAAGAUUCAUAUGUAAAGCAUGAUUGUGAAGGGACCCAAAACCACUUAGAAAUUAGACUUUAAAAGAUGCUCAGACCCUGUUAAAAAGGUCAGGUAAAACUUGAAGAGGAAGAGUGCAAAGAAAGGGGAAAAUCAGUUAACAGAGAAUCCAGGGAGCACUUCUCUAAAGGGUUCAAAUAAAAAAAUUCUGUAUGCUAUUGUGAUAUGAAACUUCAGUGAUUCAAUGCAAUAAUCAGAGUUGCAGGAGUCUCUUUUUAUUAUGAAGAAUGUUUAUGUGAUGAGCAAAACACAAAGAGAAAGAAACAGCUAAAGAAUACUUGAUGGGCAUUUUAAUCUUCUAUUAAUAUGCAAAUUUUGUUCUUUAGGACUCUAGGAAAAAAUAUGUUUUUUUCAUAGGCUAUUUAAAAGUGUCUGACUCUCCCAGAGGCGCUUCUUGUAUGAAUCCAAGUGAAACACUCUAUUUAUGGUAAUUCCCCAGAUACUACUGUAUGCACUAUUUUCUUUUUGAAAUUAUAUGGAGUUUACUGAACCACAUUUGUAAAACAUUCCACAGCUGAUUUCAUUCUAAAGAUCUCCUCGAAUAGAGCCAAAUCCCCUGUUGAUCUGUGUCGUAUGAGGAUGAUAAGAAAAUCAUCUUCGACCAUGAGAGAAGAAAUGAAAAAGUCAGUAUGAAAAUUUGGAUAAGAGUUUCUGAUCAAAAAAUGGAUAAUUUUGUCUUCAUAAUCAUCUGUAGUCACAUAUGUGUCCCUGAAAACACAGAAAAAUAUUUUCCUUAUUAUAUGCCAUUCUUCAGAAGAAAGGCAGGUUUACUGCUGGAAUAACAUCAUUAUUGUUAUAUAUUCAGAAGUGCUUUUCCUGAUUUCCUUUAUACCUACUUAUAAGCAUUACUGUCAUAGUGAAAAAUAAAAAUAAACCCUGCAAAA